CCUGUUGGUGAAGUAAAGCAAUUUUAUCGGUUGAGUGGUCUACUGAUAGGGUAACCUUGAAGCAUCUUUUGCUGGUGAUGUGAUAACUUUGUUGGUAGUGAGAUGACUUAAAACAAUUUUGUUGGGAAGCAUCUGGCUAGUCUUCUUUUUGAUGGUUUGAUGGUUUGUCAUCUUGUCGGUAGAAUACUUUGUUGGUGGAGCAUUUGGUUGGUGAAGCACUCUGUUGGUGGAGCUCAUCUGUUAGUGAAGAAAUAAGCUUUUGCUGAAGAAGCACCUUUUGCUGG
rnacentral:lncRNA from 1 species